GUUUCAGAAUGAUAGAGUGUAUUUAAGGAUUUUUAUACUGUUUGCUUUGUCUUCUGUGUUUUACUCUGUAGCAAAGAUGUCCAAGUGAAUUCACUUUCAGGUCAUCUAAGAUGAAUUUGUUUCUUCAUCAGAUCACUUGCUCAAUAAAGAAUCCUCUGCAGUGCAUGGGUGCCGUGAGAGUAGAUAAAAACAUCAUAAUAAUCCACAAGUGACCCACACAACUAUACUCCAUCAGUGAAAAGCUGCAUGUUUCUGUUUGCACUCUCAUUUUGACGGCACCCAUUCACUGCAGAGGAUCCAAUGGUGAGUAAGUGUUGUAGUGUUAAAUUUCUCCAAAUCU